AGAGUUUGAUCCUGGCUCAGAGCGAACGCUGGCGGCAGGCUUAACACAUGCAAGUCGAACGGGCUUCUUCGGAAGUCAGUGGCAGACGGGUGAGUAACACGUGGGAACGUGCCCUUCGGUUCGGAAUAACUCAGGGAAACUUGAGCUAAUACCGGAUACGCCCUUAUGGGGGAAAGGUUUACUGCCGAAGGAUCGGCCCGCGUCUGAUUAGCUUGUUGGUGGGGUAACGGCCUACCAAGGCGACGAUCAGUAGCUGGUCUGAGAGGAUGAUCAGCCACACUGGGACUGAGACCCGGCCCAGACUCCUACGGGAGGCAGCAGUGGGGAAUAUUGGACAAUGGGCGCAAGCCUGAUCCAGCCAUGCCGCGUGAGUGAUGAAGGCCUUAGGGUUGUAAAGCUCUUUUGUCCGGGACGAUAAUGACGGUACCGGAAGAAUAAGCCCCGGCUAACUUCGUGCCAGCAGCCGCGGUAAUACGAAGGGGGCUAGCGUUGCUCGGAAUCACUGGGCGUAAAGGGCGCGUAGGCGGCCGAUUAAGUCGGGGGUGAAAGCCUGUGGCUCAACCACAGAAUUGCCUUCGAUACUGGUUGGCUUGAGACCGGAAGAGGACAGCGGAACUGCGAGUGUAGAGGUGAAAUUCGUAGAUAUUCGCAAGAACACCAGUGGCGAAGGCGGCUGUCUGGUCCGGUUCUGACGCUGAGGCGCGAAAGCGUGGGGAGCAAACAGGAUUAGAUACCCUGGUAGUCC
rnacentral:rRNA from 1 species